AGGGGCGUAGUUCAAUGGUAGAAUAGGGGUCUCCAAAACCUCUGAUGGGGGUUCGAUUCCCUCCGCCCCUG
rnacentral:tRNA from 1 species